rnacentral:rRNA from 1 species
GACGAACGCUGGCGGCGUGCCUAAUACAUGCAAGUAGAACGCUGAAUAGUGUAGCUUGCUCUUCUUGGAUGAGUUGCGAACGGGUGAGUAACGCGUAGGGAACCUGCCUUGUAGCGGGGGAUAACUAUUGGCAACGAUAGCUAAUACCGCAUAACAAUGGAUGCCACAUGUCAUUUAUUUGAAAGGUGCAAUUGCUCCACUACAAGUUGGAUCUGCGUUGUAUUAUCUAGUAGGGGAGGUAAUGGCUCACCUAGGCGACGAUACAUAGGCGACCUGAGAGGAUGAUCAGUAGCAGGUGGGAGAGGACGCGCACCAGAACUCGGAGGGAGGCAGCAGCAAGGAAUCUUCGGGAAUGGGGAGAAGCGUAAUCGAGGAACGGCGCGUGAGUGAAGAAGGGUAUCGGAGCGUAAAGGUAGAAUGUAAGUGAAGAAUGGGUGUGAGAGUGGAAAGAACAAACUGUGACGGUAGCUGAGCAAAAAGCGACGGCUAACUACGUG